rnacentral:rRNA from 1 species
CGGGGAAACUCACCAGGUCCAGACACAAUGAGGAUUGACAGAUUGAGAGCUCUUUCAUGAUUUUGUGGGUGGUGGUGCAUGGCCGUUCUUAGUUGGUGGAGUGAUUUGUCUGCUUAAUUGCGAUAACGGACGAGAUUUUGGCGAGCAGUUGGGGAAGUUACAUUUUGUAGCGGAACCGUCUACUCGGACAGCUGAUGCAAAUCAGAGGAAGCGAGGCAAUAACAGGUCUGUGAUGCCCUUAGACGUUCUGGGCCGCACGCGCGCUACACUGACUCGGUCAACAAGAUCCUUUGUUUAGCAACACGGGAAAUCUUAUAAACCGGGUCGUGCUGGGGAUAGAGCCUUGCAAUUAUUGCUCUUGAACGAGGAAUUCCUAGUAAGCGCAAGUCAUCAGCUUGCGUUGAUUACGUCCCUGCCCUUUGUACACACCGCCCGUC